rnacentral:pre_miRNA from 1 species
GUAGUAUUCCCUCCGUCCCAAAAUUCUUGUCUUACAUUUGUUUAGAUAUGGAUGUAUCUAACACUAAAAUGUAACUAGAUACAUCCGUAUUUAGACAAAUUUAAGACAAGAAUUUUGGGACAGAGGAAGUACAAA